rnacentral:rRNA from 1 species
AUUGAACGCUGGCGGCAGGCCUAACACAUGCAAGUCGGACGGUAGCACAGGGGAGCUUGCUCCUCGGGUGACGAGUGGCGGACGGGUGAGUAAUGUCUGGGGAUCUGCCCGAUAGAGGGGGAUAACCACUGGAAACGGUGGCUAAUACCGCAUAAUGUCGCAAGACCAAAGAGGGGGACCUUCGGGCCUCUCACUAUCGGAUGAACCCAGAUGGGAUUAGCUAGUAGGCGGGGUAACGGCCCACCUAGGCGACGAUCCCUAGCUGGUCUGAGAGGAUGACAAGCCACACUGGAACUGAGACACGGUCCAGACUCCUACGGGAGGCAGCAGUGGGGAAUAUUGCACAAUGGGCGCAAGCCUAAUGCAGCCAUGCCGCGUGUAUGAAGAAGGCCUUCGGGUUGUAAAGUACUUUCAGCGGGGAGGAAGGCGAUGUGGUUAAUAACCGCGUCGAUUGACGUUACCCGCAGAAGAAGCACCGGCUAACUCCGUGCCAGCAGCCGCCGUAA